UACGUAGGGGCAAGCGUUGUCCGGAAUCAUUGGGCGUAAAGCGCGUGUAGGCGGCUGAGUAAGUCUGCUCUGAAAGCCCGGGGCUCAACCCCGGGAGGCGGGUGGAUACUGCUCAGCUCGAGUCCGGAAGAGGAGUGUGGAAUUCCUGGUGUAGCGGUGAAAUGCGCAGAUAUCAGGAGGAACACCAAUGGCGAAGGCAGCACUCUGGGACGGUACUGACGCUGAGACGCGAAAGCGUGGGGAGCAAACAGG
rnacentral:rRNA from 1 species